rnacentral:rRNA from 1 species
CAAGGAAUUUUCGGCAAUGGGCGCAAGCCUGACCGAGCAACGCCGCGUGCAGGAUGACGGCCUUCGGGUUGUAAACUGCUUUUCUGGGGGAUGAUACAGACAGUACCCCAGGAAUAAGCCCCGGCUAACUCUGUGCCAGCAGCCGCGGUAAGACAGAGGGGGCAAGCGUUGUCCGGAGUUACUGGGCGUAAAGCGCGCGUAGGCGGUACGGUAAGUAAGGUGUGAAAGCCCCAGGCUUAACCUGGGGAGGUCAUCUUCGACUGCCGCACUCGAGUCGUGCAGAUGGUGGUGGAAUUGCCGGUGUAGUGGUGAAAUGCGUAGAGAUCGGCAGGAACACCAAGGGCGAAAGCAGCCACCUGGGCACGUACUGACGCUGAGGUGCGAAAGCGUGGGGAGCGAACCGG